rnacentral:rRNA from 1 species
CCCAGACUCCUACGGGAGGCAGCAGUAGGGAAUCUUUCACAAUGGGCGAAAGCCUGAUGGAGCAACGCCGCGUGCAGGAUGAAGGCCUUCGGGUUGUAAACUGCUUUUAUAAGCGAGAAAUAUGAUGGUAACUUAUGAAUAAGGAUCGGCUAACUACGUGCCAGCAGCCGCGGUAAUACGUAGGGAGCAAGCGUUAUCCGGAAUUAUUGGGUGUAAAGGGUGCGUAGACGGGACAGCAAGUUAGUUGUGAAAGCCCUCGGCUUAACUGAGGAACUGCAACUAAAACUAUUGUUCUUGAGUGCAGGAGAGGAAAGCGGAAUUCCUAGUGUAGCGGUGAAAUGCGUAGAUAUUAGGAGGAACACCAGUGGCGAAGGCGGCUUUCUGGACUGUAACUGACGUUGAGGCACGAAAGUGUGGGGAGCAAACAGGAUUAGAUACCCUCGUAC